AGAGUUUGAUCCUGGCUCAGAACGAACGCUGGCGGCAGGCCUAACACAUGCAAGUCGAACGAGAAGCCACCUUCGGGUGGUGGACAGUGGCAGACGGGUGAGUAACGCGUGGGAACGUGCCUUUCGGUUCGGAAUAACCCAGGGAAACUUGGGCUAAUACCGGAUACGCCCUUCGGGGGAAAGAUUCAUUGCCGAAAGAUCGGCCCGCGUCGGAUUAGCUAGUUGGUGGGGUAAUGGCUCACCAAGGCGACGAUCCGUAGCUGGUCUGAGAGGAUGACCAGCCACACUGGGACUGAGACACGGCCCAGACUCCUACGGGAGGCAGCAGUGGGGAAUAUUGGACAAUGGGCGAAAGCCUGAUCCAGCCAUGCCGCGUGGGUGAAGAAGGCCUUAGGGUUGUAAACCCCUUUCAGCGGGGAAGAUAAUGACGGUACCCGCAGAAGAAGUCCCGGCUAACUCCGUGCCAGCAGCCGCGGUAAUUC
rnacentral:rRNA from 1 species